UACGUAGGGGGCAAGCGUUGUCCGGAUUUAUUGGGCGUAAAGAGCGUGUAGGCGGCCAGGUAGGUCAGCUGUGAAAACUCGAGGCUCAACCUCGAGACGUCGGUUGAAACCACCUGGCUAGAGUCCGGAAGAGGAGAGUGGAAUUCCUGGUGUAGCGGUGAAAUGCGCAGAUAUCAGGAAGAACACCCGUGGCGAAGGCGGCUCUCUGGGACGGUACUGACGCUAAGGCGCGAAAGCGUGGGGAGCGAACAGG
rnacentral:rRNA from 1 species